rnacentral:ncRNA from 1 species
AUAGUUUGAUUCUAGCUAUAAAUUUAGUUUAUUCUUGAUACUAUACGCUAAACUUAUAAAAAUGAAGAUUUAUAUAAUUAUUAUAUUUAUAUUAUGGUUAUAAAGCAGUAGGUAAUCUUAUUUAUGUGUAAAUACAUGAAAUUGUUGAGGAUAAUUAAUAUGGCCAAUACUGUGCCAGCAGCAGCGGUUAAACAGUAGAAUUCUAAAUUAUAAAAUUUUAUAACGAUAAACUAAAAUUGAUUAAGGGUAAAAUUUAAUAGUAGAGGUUUGAAUUUAUCAUAAUAAAGAUAUUAAUUAAAACAAGGAUUAGAUACCCUUUUAUUUUUAUUCAAUAUAUAAAUUGGAGAGUACGAGCAAUAGCUUAAAAACUAAAGAAUAUGGCGGUGUUUUAUUCGAUCAGGGUGACAUGUAUCUUAAUUUGAUAGUCCACGGUUUUUAAGCCUGACUUUGAAAUUCAGCAUGUGUACUGCCGUUUUACAUAGUUUUAAAAAAUUGUGUAUAAUAUAUGAAUCUUUCAUAUAAUUAGUCAGGUCAAAGCGCAGUCUAUAGUCAGGUGAGAAUGUGUUACAUUUAUUUAAACAUUCAAUUUAUUGAUUUAAAUUUUAAUAAGAAGAAGAACUUGAUAGUAAUUAGAUUGAUUAAAUUUAAUGAAAAGGAUUUUAACGCGUACAAAUCGCCCGUCACUCCUUUAUAAAGGAUAAGUCGUAACACAGUAGAUGUAAUGGAAAUUGUAUCUAU